AGCUUUGUGCAGUGGCAGUAUCGUAGCCAAUGAGGUUUAUCCGAGGCGCGAUUAUUGCUAAUUGAUUUAUAGGCUUAUAGCUGAGAGUUUACCUAAAUUUCUGAUAAGAUUUAGGAUUUGGAAUUUUGGGUUGGUGCUUGCAG
rnacentral:snRNA from 11 species